UACGGAGGGGGCUAGCGUUGUUCGGAAUUACUGGGCGUAAAGCGCGCGCAGGCGGUCUUCCAAGUCAGUGGUGAAAGCCCGGAGCUCAACUCCGGAACUGCCAUUGAAACUGUUAGACUUGAGGAUGAGAGAGGUGAGUGGAAUUCCCAGUGUAGAGGUGAAAUUCGUAGAUAUUGGGAAGAACACCAGUGGCGAAGGCGGACUCACUGGCCCAUUUCUGACGCUCAGGCGCGACAGCGUGGGGAUCAAACAGG
rnacentral:rRNA from 1 species